UGAACGCUAGCGGCAGGCCUAAUACAUGCAAGUCGAGGGGUAAGGCUCAUUUCGGUGAGUACACGACCGGCGCACGGGUGCGUAACGCGUAUGCAACCUACCUUUAACAGGAGGAUAGCCCCGAGAAAUCGGGAUUAAUACUCCAUAACACUGCGCUGUGGCAUCACAGUGUAGUUAAAACUCCGGUGGUUAAAGAUGGGCAUGCGUGACAUUAGAUAGUUGGUGAGGUAACGGCUCACCAAGUCGACGAUGUCUAGGGGUUCUGAGAGGAUGAUCCCCCACACUGGUACUGAGACACGGACCAGACUCCUACGGGAGGCAGCAGUAAGGAAUAUUGGUCAAUGGGCGAAAGCCUGAACCAGCCAUGCCGCGUGCAGGAAGACAGCCUUAUGGGUUGUAAACUGCUUUUAUACAGGAAUAAACCCCUUUACGUGUAGAGGGUUGAAGGUACUGUAAGAAUAAGGACCGGCUAACUCC
rnacentral:rRNA from 1 species